GACGAACGCUGGCGGCGUGCCUAAUACAUGCAAGUUGAGCGAUGAAGAUUGGUGCUUGCACCAAUUUGAAGAGCAGCGAACGGGUGAGUAACGCGUGGGGAAUCUGCCUUUGAGCGGGGGACAACAUUUGGAAACGAAUGCUAAUACCGCAUAACAACUUUAAACAUAAGUUUUAAGUUUGAAAGAUGCAAUUGCAUCACUCAAAGAUGAUCCCGCGUUGUAUUAGCUAGUUGGUGAGGUAAAGGCUCAACAAGGCGAUGAUACAUAGCCGACCUGAGAGGGUGAUCGGCCACAUUGGGACUGAGACACGGCCCAAACUCCUAAGGGAGGCAGCAGUAGGGAAUCUUCGGCAAUGGACGAAAGUCUGACCGAGCAACGCCGCGGGAGGGAAUAAGGGUCUCGGAUCGGAAAACUCUGUUGGUAGAGAAGAACGUUGGUGAGAGUGGAAAGCUCAUGAAGUGACGGUAACUACCCAGAAAGGGACGGCUAACUACGUG
rnacentral:rRNA from 1 species